rnacentral:misc_RNA from 1 species
CUUGUCUCCUGUGUAUCCUUUCCCAGCAAUGCUUCGUUACUGAUCCCAAUCACAUUCUUGCAAUGCAUCUCAUAAAUGGACUCAUCAUGAAAUACUGAUAUUCUGAACCUUGAAAAGAACCACUCUAUUAAAUCAAAGUUUUUACUCUCAUUUGGAUACAGACAAUCGACAGCUAUGAAACACAGUUCAGAAAGCAAAUUGCCCACAGAUGCAUCUAUCAACUCUGGGUUACUGGAAGCAUCAUUCCCUCUUAUGAAUUUUCUGAACCAUUUCUUCUGAAACCUCUUCCCAUUAGAUUUAGAAAUCAAAAGGGGUCCAAUUAAUUGAUCAGCAACUGUUUUUUCACAUUCUGGCUCUUGAGAAGCUUUCUGAGCCUUGGGGUCUUCUGUUUCACUAGGCAAGUCUUUAUAUUCCCAAUUGACAUAGGGAUAUGAUAAGUACUUGCUCUUCUUCCUUUCUCUCAACUCAGAGCUCCUUUCUACUGUUGUUGGAGAUCCCAAGAUACACAUAUUCUCCUUAGAUGGAGAAGCUGAUAGGCUAAUUUCUUGACCUUCAACUUUAAGUUCAAAACACCUCUUCCUCUUUCUCUUAUUAGAAUUUGAUGCCAGAUCAUUUGGGACACCAUUUCCUUCAUGAAGGUUGCCUUUGCAAAUCUCUGCCAUAGUAUCCAGAUCCCCUCCAAAAAUUGUGGCUAGGCCUUCCUUCUUCUUAUGCAGUAGAACUUUAUCCUCUGUGCUUUGUGAUUCCCCUUUGGCAGGUCCCGAAUUUUGCCCUCCAACUUGAGCAUCAAUUUGACCUUUUGCCAUUAACUUGUCACCAGAAUUGUCUUGGUCAUCAGUUGAUUUCCAGAGUUGUUCCAUAGGCAACUGACUAUGUCCUAUGGAAUGAUAAAAUGCUGACAAAAAAUUCUUUGCUACAGUUAAUUCAAGCAUGUCAAGCUGGGAGACAGCCUGUGCAAUAUUUUUAAUUUGCGCAAGAAACUUCACUGGUUCAACCUGGCUACAUGAAAAUUCCCCGAAUCUGCUCCCUGGCAAAGAAGCCCCUUGAAUUUCAACAAUAUCAGAUGAUUGCUGAAUUUCUUUGAGGAUACAAGGACAAGUAAUCUCUGAUUUCAGGCACUUACCAAACUCAUCCACCGCUUUCUGUACUGCUCUUAAAAAGCUUCUGGACUUGUUUUGCCCAGUCAUCCGUUCAAAAUUCUCAUGAAAAGGCUUUAAUUGAGAUGGCAAGCACCAUGCAACGUGGCUACUUCCCAAAUAACCAACCAACAGGCAGUUCCUCUGGUCACUCCCCACAGCAUAUUUUCUUGCAUCUAAUGGAUCAUAAAUCUUUCCAGGCCACCAAGACUGAUUUUUGGUUUUAAUCCAUAUAAUAUCGCCUACAUGGAACUUCCCCCUUAGCUCUGCCAUCUCCUCAUCACCAACUUCUUUAGACUCCUCUUGAGCAUCCAUGUCUUUGAGAUUGCCAAAAUUUACCCUACUCAGAGAAUCAGAAAAAUCUACAUAAAGUGAUAUAUU